rnacentral:tRNA from 1 species
ACCUGGAUGGCUCAGUCAGUGGAGCAUGUGACUCUUGAUCACUGGGUUGUGAGUUCAACCCCCACACUGGGCA